CACGUAGGGCGCAAGCGUUGUCCGGAAUUAUUGGGCGUAAAGAGCUCGUAGGCGGUCUGUUGCGUCCGCUGUGAAAACUCGGGGCUUAACCCCGAGCCUGCAGUGGAUACGGGCAGACUAGAGGUAGGUAGGGGAGAAUGGAAUUCCCGGUGUAGCGGUGGAAUGCGCAGAUAUCAGGAGGAACACCGAUGGCGAAGGCAGGUCUCUGGGCCACUACUGACGCUGAGAAGCGAAAGCAUGGGGAGCGAACAGG
rnacentral:rRNA from 1 species